UACGUAGGGUGCAAGCGUUGUCCGGAAUUAUUGGGCGUAAAGAGCUCGUAGGCGGUUUGUUGCGUCGGCUGUGAAAUCCCGAGGCUCAACCUCGGGUCUGCAGUCGAUACGAGCAAACUAGAGUGUUGCAGGGGAGACUGGAAUUCCUGGUGUAGCGGUGAAAUGCGCAGAUAUCAGGAGGGAACACCCGGUGGGCGAAGGCGGUUCUCUGGGCCUUACCUG
rnacentral:rRNA from 1 species